rnacentral:rRNA from 1 species
AUUGAACGCUGGCGGCAGGCCUAACACAUGCAAGUCGAACGGUAACAGGAAGAAGCUUGCUUCUUUGCUGACGAGUGGCGGACGGGUGAGUAAUGUCUGGGAAACUGCCUGAUGGAGGGGGAUAACUACUGGAAACGGUAGCUAAUACCGCAUAACGUCGCAAGACCAAAGAGGGGGACCUUCGGGCCUCUUGCCAUCGGAUGUGCCCAGAUGGGAUUAGCUAGUAGGUGGGGUAACGGCUCACCUAGGCGACGAUCCCUAGCUGGUCUGAGAGGAUGACCAGCCACACUGGAACUGAGACACGGUCCAGACUCCUACGGGAGGCAGCAGUGGGGAAUAUUGCACAAUGGGCGCAAGCCUGAUGCAGCCAUGCCGCGUGUAUGAAGAAGGCCUUCGGGUUGUAAAGUACUUUCAGCGGGGAGGAAGGGAGUAAAGUUAAUACCUUUGCUCAUUGACGUUACCCGCAGAAGAAGCACCGACUAACUCCGUG